GAGUUUGAUCCUGGCUCAGGAUGAACGCUGGCGGCAUGCCUAACACAUGCAAGUUGAACGAGAAGUUUUGGAGGGAGUCUUCGGACGAACGAAGGAAUGGAAAGUAGCGAACGGGUGAGUAACGCGUGGGCAACCAACCUUACACAGGGGGAUAACACAGAGAAAUCUGUGCUAAUACCGCAUAAGCGCACAGUACUGCAUAGUACAGUGUGAAAAACUCCGGUGGUGUAAGACGGGCCCGCGUCUGAUUAGCUAGUUGGUAGGGUAAAAGCCUACCAAGGCAACGAUCAGUAGCCGACCUGAGAGGGUGAUCGGCCACAUUGGGACUGAGACACGGCCCAAACUCCUACGGGAGGCAGCAGUGGGGGAUAUUGCACAAUGGAGGAAACUCUGAUGCAGCAAUGCCGCGUGAAGGAAGAAGGUCUUCGGAUUGUAAACUUCUAUCAGCAGGGAAGAAAAUGACGUACCUGACUAAGAGCCCCGC
rnacentral:rRNA from 1 species